rnacentral:rRNA from 1 species
GAUGAACGCUGGCGGCGUGCCUAAUACAUGCAAGUCGAGCGAACAGACGAGGAGCUUGCUCCUCUGACGUUAGCGGCGGACGGGUGAGUAACGCGUGGAUAACCUACCUAUAAGAUUGGGAUAACUUCGGGAAACCUGAGCUAAUACCGGAUAAUAUAUUGAACCGCAUGGUUCAAUAGUGAAAGACGGUUUUGCUGUCACUUAUAGAUGGAUCCGCGCCGCAUUAGCUAGUUGGUAAGGUAACGGCUUACCAAGGCAACGAUGCGUAGCCGACCUGAGAGGGUGAUCGGCCACACUGGAACUGAGACACGGUCCAGACUCCUACGGGAGGCAGCAGUAGGGAAUCUUCCGCAAUGGGCGAAAGCCUGACGGAGCAACGCCGCGUGAGUGAUGAAGGUCUUCGGAUCGUAAAACUCUGUUAUUAGGGAAGAACAAAUGUGUAAGUAACUAUGCACGUCUUGACGGUACCUAAUCAGAAAGCCACGGCUAACUACGUG